rnacentral:lncRNA from 1 species
UCAACCUAAGAAAAGCUCUAUCAAUGUAGACAGGUGGAUCUUGCUCCUCUGAAGGGUAAUGUUCCCACCCUCAUGAACUACAAAAACCGGGCUGCGUGCUCUAGAAAUACACGAAUAGAUCAAAUGACUUUGAACGCUGAUUAUGGCCAACCACAAAAAGGAGGAUUGUUUCCCUGAGGCCCAGGACCACUGAUUUACAAAAUGAACCACUUGUCUCUACAACAGCUAACUUUCUAACACAAAACAGGAGAACCACUUGAUAACUCAGAAAAGUAUGGUCAUCUUUUGUUUGUUUAUUAUUAAAUAUUCCCUACCUGUCUACUAUGUGCCAAGCACUAAAUAGAUUUAAGAAGUAAAGAUUAAAGUUAAAUAUUGAAAUAGUUUUCUGGGUUUUUAAACUUUAAGUUCUGUACAUAUAACCAGAAGGGAGCUUCCUACAACAUUAAAUCUUAGUCUGAGGUCUAAAAAGUAAGUUAUUAAUGACAAUCAGGUAGAAAUUCUGCUAAACUUUUUAAGUGUCUAAAAUAUUCUGAAAGAAAUGAUUUUGACAUAACAUAGAAGGUUAGAGUUUAGUCUAUACUUGAUAGAGAUCGUUACAAUUCAAUUUUAAUGUAACAUUUAUUGCCUAGAUCAUGGGUAAGCAAACUUGUACUAUAAAGAAUUAGAUAGCAAUUAUUUUAGGCUUUGUAGGCCAGAUGAUUUCUGCCACAAUUACUCAACCCUGCACUGCAGUACAAAAGCAGUCACAGAUAAUACAUAAACUAACGGAUGUAGCUGUUUUCCAAUAAAACUUUAUAGACACUGAAAUUCGAUUUUCA